UUAUAGGUCUAAGUACCCUAAAGGCACUAGAUCCCAUCUGAUCUUGGAAACUAAGCAUGCUGAACCUGGAUAGUACUUGGAUUGAAGACAACCAAUGUAUACCUAGUGAUGUAGGCU
rnacentral:rRNA from 1 species